rnacentral:rRNA from 1 species
UGGGGAAUAUUGCACAAUGGGCGAAAGCCUGAUGCAGCAACGCCGCGUGAGGGACGACGGCCUUCGGGUUGUAAACCUCUUUUAGCAAGGAAGAAGCGAAAGUGACGGUACUUGCAGAAAAAGCGCCGGCUAACUACGUGCCAGCAGCCGCGGUAAUACGUAGGGCGCAAGCGUUAUCCGGAAUUAUUGGGCGUAAAGAGCUCGUAGGCGGUUUGUCGCGUCUGCUGUGAAAACCCGAGGCUCAACCUCGGGCCUGCAGUGGGUACGGCAGACUAGAGUGCGGUAGGGGAGAUUGGGAACUUCCGAUGGCUGGUAGCGGGUGGAAUGCGCAGAUAUCAGGAAGAACACCGAUGGCGAAGGCAGAUCUCUGGGCCGUAACUGACGCUGAGGAGCGAAAGGGUGGGGAGCAAAACAGGCUUAGAUACCCUGGUAGUCCACCCGUAAACGUUGGGAACUAGUUGUGGGGUCCAUUCCACGGAUUCCGUGACGCAGCUAACGCAUUAAGUUCCCCGCCUGGGGAGUACGGCCGCAAGGCUAAAACUU